GCAGGCCUAACACAUGCAAGUCGAACGAACCUUCGGGUGAGUGGCGCACGGGUGCGUAACGCGUGGGAAUAUACACAUAGGUGAGGAAUAACGUAGAGAAAUUUGCGCUAAUACCUCAUAAUGACUCCGGUCCAAAGAUUUAUCGCCUAUGAAUUAGCCCGCGUCAGAUUAGAUAGUUGGUGAGGUAAAGGCUCACCAAGUCUACGAUCUGUAGGGGGUCUGAGAGGAUGAUCCCCCACACUGGUACUGAGACACGGACCAGACUCCUACGGGAGGCAGCAGUGAGGAAUAUUGGACAAUGGGGGCAACCCUGAUCCAGCCAUGCCGCGUGAGUGAAGAAGGCCUUAGGGUUGUAAAGCUCUUUCAAUAGUGAAGAUAAUGACGGUAACUAUACAAGAAGCUCCGGCUAAAUUCGUGCCAGCAGCCGCGGUAAUACGAAUGGAGCAAGCGUUGUUCGGAAUCACUGGGCUUAAAGCGUAUGUAGGCGGACUAGCAAGUCAGGAGUGAAAUCCCGGGGCUCAACCCCGGAACUGCUCUUGAAACUGCAAGUCUAGAAUCCUGGAGAGGUUGGGAGAAUUCCUAGUGUAGAGGUGAAAUUC
rnacentral:rRNA from 1 species